UACGUAGGGGGCUAGCGUUGUCCGGAUUUAUUGGGCGUAAAGAGCGUGUAGGCGGCCAGGUAGGUCUGCUGUGAAAACUCGAGGCUCAACCUCGAGAUGUCGGCGGAAACCAUCUGGCUAGAGUCCGGAAGAGGAAAGUGGAAUUCCUGGUGUAGCGGUGAAAUGCGCAGAUAUCAGGAAGAACACCCGUGGCGAAGGCGGCUUUCUGGGACGGUACUGACGCUGAGACGCGAAAGCGUGGGGAGCGAACAGGGAUUAGAACCGUACCGACGUA
rnacentral:rRNA from 1 species